rnacentral:rRNA from 1 species
AUGCAAGUCGAGCGGUAGCACAGAGAGCUUGCUCUCGGGUGACGAGCGGCGGACGGGUGAGUAAUGUCUGGGAAACUGCCUGAUGGAGGGGGAUAACUACUGGAAACGGUAGCUAAUACCGCAUAACGUCGCAAGACCAAAGUGGGGGACCUUCGGGCCUCAUGCCAUCAGAUGUGCCCAGAUGGGAUUAGCUGGUAGGUGGGGUAACGGCUCACCUAGGCGACGAUCCCUAGCUGGUCUGAGAGGAUGACCAGCCACACUGGAACUGAGACACGGUCCAGACUCCUACGGGAGGCAGCAGUGGGGAAUAUUGCACAAUGGGCGCAAGCCUGAUGCAGCCAUGCCGCGUGUGUGAAGAAGGCCUUCGGGUUGUAAAGCACUUUCAGCGGGGAGGAAGGCGGUGAGGUUAAUAACCUUGUCGAUUGACGUUACCCGCAGAAGAAGCACCGGCUAACUCCGUGCCAGCAGCCGCGGUAAUACGGAGGGUGCAAGCGUUAAUCGGAAUUACUGGGCGUAAAGCGCACGCAGGCGGUCUGUCAAGUCGGAUGUGAAAUCCCCGGGCUCAACCUGGGAACUGCAUUCGAAACUGGCAGGCUAGAGUCUUGUAGAGGGGGGUAGAAUUCCAGGUGUAGCGGUGAAAUGCGUAGAGAUCUGGAGGAAUACCGGUGGCGAAGGCGGCCCCCUGGACAAAGACUGACGCUCAGGUGCGAAAGCGUGGGGAGCAAACAGGAUUAGAUACCCUGGUAGUCCACGCUGUAAACGAUGUCGAUUUGGAGGUUGUGCCCUUGAGGCGUGGCUUCCGGAGCUAACGCGUUAAAUCGACCGCCUGGGGAGUACGGCCGCAAGGUUAAAACUCAAAUGAAUUGACGGGGGCCCGCACAAGCGGUGGAGCAUGUGGUUUAAUUCGAUGCAACGCGAAGAACCUUACCUGGUCUUGACAUCCACAGAACUUUCCAGAGAUGGAUUGGUGCCUUCGGGAACUGUGAGACAGGUGCUGCAUGGCUGUCGUCAGCUCGUGUUGUGAAAUGUUGGGUUAAGUCCCGCAACGAGCGCAACCCUUAUCCUUUGUUGCCAGCGGUUAGGCCGGGAACUCAAAGGAGACUGCCAGUGAUAAACUGGAGGAAGGUGGGGAUGACGUCAAGUCAUCAUGGCCCUUACGACCAGGGCUACACACGUGCUACAAUGGCAUAUACAAAGAGAAGCGACCUCGCGAGAGCAAGCGGACCUCAUAAAGUAUGUCGUAGUCCGGAUUGGAGUCUGCAACUCGACUCCAUGAAGUCGGAAUCGCUAGUAAUCGUAGAUCAGAAUGCUACGGUGAAUACGUUCCCGGGCCUUGUACACACCGCCCGUCACACCAUGGGAGUGGGUUGCAAAAGAAGUAGGUAGCUUAACCUUCGGGAGGGCGCUUACC